rnacentral:hammerhead_ribozyme from 1 species
ACCUAGCUGAUGAGUCCCAAAUAGGACGAAAUGUGCUUUCUGGAU